rnacentral:rRNA from 1 species
AGUGAACGCUGGCGGUAGGCCUAACACAUGCAAGUCGAACGGCAGCACAGUAAGAGCUUGCUCUUACGGGUGGCGAGUGGCGGACGGGUGAGGAAUACAUCGGAAUCUACUUUUUCGUGGGGGAUAACGUAGGGAAACUUACGCUAAUACCGCAUACGACCUACGGGUGAAAGCAGGGGAUCUUCGGACCUUGCGCGAUUGAAUGAGCCGAUGUCGGAUUGGCUAGUUGGCGGGGUAAAGGCCCACCAAGGCGACGAUCCGUAGCUGGUCUGAGAGGAUGAUAAGCCACACUGGAGCUGAGACACGGUACAGACUCCUACGGGGGACAGCAGUGGGGAAUAUUGGACGAUGGGCGCAAGCCUGAUCCAGCCAUGCCGCGUGGGUGAAGAAGGCCUUCGGGUUGUAAAGCCCUUUUGUUGGGAAAGAAAAGCAGCAGGUUAAUACCCCGCUGUUCUGACGGUACCCAAAGAAUAAGCACCGGCUAACUUCGUG